UUAUACAAGGCAUAAAAGGGAAUCAGGUGAAACACCUGAGCAGUGCCCGCUACUGUAAACUCCGUUAGUUCGGAAUGUCAUUUUCUACUAAGCCACUAUGGUCAUAAUCCUUGGGAAGGUGAGACAUUUCGGGAGCAAGCCAGGAAACCUGCCGUCAGAGUUU
rnacentral:ncRNA from 1 species